UACGAAGGGGCUAGCGUUGCUCGGAAUUACUGGGCGUAAAGGGUGCGUAGGCGGGUCUUUUAAGUCAGGGUGAAAUCCUGGAGCUCAACUCCAGAACUGCCUUUGAUACUGAAGAUCUUGAGUUCGGGAGAGGUGAGUGGAACUGCGAGUGUAGAGGUGAAAUUCGUAGAUAUUCGGAGGAACACCAGUGGCGAAGGCGGCUUACUGGCUCGAUACUGACGCUGAGGUGCGAAAGCGUGGGGAGCAAACAGGGAGUUAA
rnacentral:rRNA from 1 species